rnacentral:misc_RNA from 1 species
AACAAGGCGUACCUGCGGACCUGCGGAAGGAUCAUUAUCGAGUUGCAAAACUCCAACCCUUUGUGAACAUACCUCAGUCGUUGCUUCGGCGGUGGACGGCCUGUUUUUCGGAACGGCCGGAAGCCGCCGGAGGUUCCAAACUCGUAUUUUUUAGUGUAUCUCUGAGCCUGAAAACAAAUAAUCAAAACUUUUAGCAACGGAUCU